GAGAGUUUAAUAAUCAUUGAAUUUAGAGUGACAGAACCUGAAUUUAUAUAAUCCUUUUCUGAGCCAUAAGGAGAGCAUAGCAAUUCUGAUACAGCAAAUGCAGUGGUGGGAUUCAGCCGAUUCUGUCCGGAUUGUGCAAACCAGUAGCAGCGACUACGGGAGGCUCUGCCCUUCUGCCUGGACGUAAUGUGCAAUUACUGCGCACACACUCACAUUUGCGAACCGAUAGGGAAGAAGAGCUACUGAAGUGAAUAGUGGUUAAAGCAGAGCAUGAGAAGAAAUCUAGACCAAAGGAGUUAAAAAAUGAUGUAGAACCAUUUCAAUAUUUGUACCACUGAAUUUUGGACAGGAUGAAACCAUUUGCUGCUAUCAACUAAAGUUCUCAAAGAUGGCAGUUAGAAGAAAAAGUCAGUACUUCAGGAAAAAUACAGUUGAUGAAGAUGCAAUAUAAAAUUGAUUUGGAAAACUUUUGCUUCAGAUUAAAUUAUGCAAAAAUGGCAUGGACUGAAAAUAGAUUUGGCUAUCUCUAGUUGGGAUGCAGAAUGAAAUAUAAAUACAUGUUUGAUAAUAAUGGGUUACAGUAAGCAACAACUUGUGAAAUCAAACUAUUAUCAGAACCAGUUAUUCAAGAGCAAAAGUUAUCUAAGAACACAGAAGAAUGAAGGAAAAUGUUCAUAGUACAAUAAAAUUGCAAUGAAAUUUG